rnacentral:rRNA from 1 species
UACGUAGGGGGCAAGCGUUGCCCGGAUUUAUUGGGCGUAAAGAGCGUGUAGGCGGCCAGACAGGUCCGUUGUGAAAACUCGAGGCUCAACCUCGAGACGUCGAUGGAAACCGUCGGGCUAGAGUCCGGAAGAGGAGAGUGGAAUUCCUGGUGUAGCGGUGAAAUGCGCAGAUAUCAGGAGGAACACCCGUGGCGAAAGCGGCUCUCUGGGACGGUACUGACGCUGAGACGCGAAAGCGUGGGGAGCGAACAGG